rnacentral:rRNA from 1 species
GAUGAACGCUGGCGGUAUGCCUAACACAUGCAAGUCGAACGGAAGCACGGUAAGAUCUUUCUCUUACGGUUGGCGACGGGCGGGUGAGUAAGAAAUACAUCGCCUUCUACUUAUUCGUGGGUGAUAACGUAGAAAAACAUACGCUAAUACCGCAUACGUCGUACCGCUUAAAUCAAUGGAUCUUCUCACCUUUGGCGAUUGAAUUAGCCGCUGUCGGAUUAGCUAGUUUGUGAGGUAAAGGCCCAGCAAGGCGACGAUACGUAGCUGGUCUGAGAGGAUGAUCAGCCACACUGGAACUGAGACACGGUCCAGACUCCUACGGGAGGCAGCAGUAGGGAAUCUUGGGCAAUGGGCGCAAGCCUGAGGCAGCCAUACCGCGUGUGUGAUGAAGGCCUUCGGUUUGUAAAACCCUGUUGUUGGGAAAGAAAAGCAGUAUGAGUAUACACGGAUGUUCUGACGGUACCCAAAGAAGAAGCAACGGCUAACUACGUG